CAAGAAGUAGUUUAAUUAGAA
rnacentral:ncRNA from 2 species